CCUACGGGGGGCAGCAGUGGGGAAUAUUGGGCAAUGGGCGCAAGCCUGACCCAGCAACGCCGCGUGAAGGAAGAAGGCUUUCGGGUUGUAAACUUCUUUUGACAGGGAAGAGUAGAAGACGGUACCUGUCGAAUAAGCCACGGCUAACUACGUGCCAGCAGCCGCGGUAAUACGUAGGUGGCAAGCGUUGUCCGGAUUUACUGGGUGUAAAGGGCGUGUAGCCGGGUUGACAAGUCAGAUGUGAAAUCCUGCGGCUUAACCGCAGAACUGCAUUUGAAACUGUUGAUCUUGAGUACUGGAGAGGCAGACGGAAUUCCUAGUGUAGCGGUGAAAUGCGUAGAUAUUAGGAGGAACACCAGUGGCGAAGGCGGUCUGCUGGACAGCAACUGACGGUGAGGCGCGAAAGCGUGGGGAGCAAACAGGAUUAGAUAC
rnacentral:rRNA from 1 species